GAGGGUAUAGCUCAGUGGUAGAGCACAUGCUUAGCAUGGACAAGGUCCUGGGUUCAAUCCCAGUACCUCCA
rnacentral:tRNA from 1 species